rnacentral:lncRNA from 1 species
CUUGGAUUGAAACCAAAUGAGUUGAGCGAAUCUUCCAGGUUGCUUAAGUCCAUUCCUUGCCUCUGCUAAAGCUGCUCCCUGUCCUGGCACCCUGUCAGUAGGGGUCCUGCCCUCUUGUUCUCUGUCUCUUUGGUCUGUCCAGCUGUGCAAGGGAGGACCUGGUAUCGCUGAGUGAAAAGAUUAGGGUCUCACAAAGUUUUUCUUCUGUAUCUUCCUGCAGAGAUUUUAAUUUAAUUGUCCAUUGAAAUCCCAGUUACAGAGUUCUUCCAUACUCUGACACCUGACUUUGCAGCCUAGGAUUUUUAUUUAUUUAUUUUUUUCAUCACUGAGAACUUCUUUUCAUUUUGCUUUUUUUGGGGAAAGGUUGGAGAUAUGACAUAUGUACUGCUUUGUCUGGUGUUAUAGCUGGAAAAUACAGGUCAUACUGGGGAAGCAGAAAUAACUUUAUUAAUACUGAACUUUUGGAGAGCAAAGAUGUACAGAGCAGGAAACAAGAUCCUAAUGAAGUGGGACAGUGAAAUGGCAGGAAUGUAUCGUUAGAUUUCCGCUGUCUGAGAAACCCUUUGUUCGCCUUGCUGGUCCAAACAUUUAUCAGCAUCUACUUUGCAGUGCAGCAUCACAAACCACCAGCCUGCUUCAGAUAAAAAAAUAAAUAAUCAAGUUAUCUGCCUGACAGCAGUGGUGCUGGAAAGAGGAGAGGUGAAGUGGUGUGAAGGGAACUGGGGAGGAGUACCCCAAGGGCUUGCUGCGCUGGGCAGUGUGUGGCUGUACACCAGUGUACACCAGUGUAACAGCACCAGCACGCUGGUCACAGGCACAGAGGCUGCAUGUGUAUAAGUGUGGGGACCACAGGACCGCAAUCCUGUUUGUUCCUGUAGGAGAUCAUGUAAGAGAGAGCAAGUGCAUUUUUCAAAUUGAGAGCAAGAUCUUCUUACUUACAUAGGUGCUUAGCUCCUCUGGGAAGUGGUUUCUGCCAGGCUUAUUGCAACCACUGUGCCUCAGUUCUGGUGGGGAGUGGCCAGGGUACUCGGCGUACCUCAGUUUCUUUCUCUAAAAAUCUGUCAUCUCAUCCAGGUUGUCUAGCACUUCAGAAGACCAGGCCCCACCCCUUGAAAGCAGCUCAGUCCAGGCGCCUAAGGCCUUUGAGAUGGGUUGAAAUGCUCUCUUGUCAUUUCUCUUCAUUUGUCUUGGAGACCACUGAGAGAAGGGAGAUGGGAUCUUCACAGUUUGCUGUGUGAAAACCCAUCAGGGUCUGCCCAAUGCUGCAUGAAUGCGGGGUUCUCAACAUCUGAAAGGACAUAAGGUUUGCUUGCUAUUUCUAUUCCUGUUUUUAUUCUGUCUUAUUAAAACAGCUGUUUUGUAAGUCAUUUGCUGUCAGGCCUUGCUGAGCUGCAGAAAGAGCCCUGCCUGGUCUCAGCUGCUCUCACCCCUGCCCCAGCUGAUGCAGAACAAGCAGCACUGCAUUGACAUCUGUGAACUGUGUACAACUGAGCAGUGAGCAACACACGCGGGAAAAAAACAGGGGAGUGUAGGAAGCAAGGGUCAUGGUGCACUCAACUCACCCCGUCUUGACCGUGCAAGGAUUGCACAAGGUGGGGGCACCAACUGACAUCUCUUCCUUCAGUGCAUAAGCGGUAAUUGUGCUUCACGGGGCAGCAGACUGCUUUGCAGGAGAGUUUUGGGGUAUACUGAGGGAAAGCAGUGAAAAAAGAUACUCAAGCAGGGAUGAUGCUGUGGAAAGGGUAAUUUCAAGCUGAACAGCUCUGAGUGAGCCGUUCUUGUCUGCUUUUUCCAUAAGCAGUUUGGGAUUGGGAGGAGGCAAGAAAACAUCUUUCCUUUGAAAAUUUACCUCAAGGGUAUGUGCUGGUAAGUCAGCUGAGCGUCUGUCCAGCUACCUACCAUAUUUGUAGCUGCCAAAGCUUUUCAGUUGAGUGUGCCUUUGUGUAUGUAUAGCCACAUGCAUGCACAAACACACACACACAUGCUGCUUUCUGAAAAGAUAUAUUUGGAAAGUGAAUUUGUUCAGCUAUCUGAGUUUAAAUGCUACUGUUUUCUGUAUGGAAAUUGCUUCUCUGCACCUCUGUGUGCAAAUACAUCUGCACAGUAACUAAACACGAGCCACCCAUCAGAUAGCCAUUCCCCGUGACGCAGUUGGGAGCACCUGAGUCUGCAGCAGAGAGGACCUCUAUACAGCCUUAUGCAACAUGCAGCAAGAGUUAUUUAUUAGUCCUGCAGCUC